UACAGAGGGGGCAAGCGUUGUUCGGAAUUACUGGGCGUAAAGGGCGCGUAGGCGGCCUUCUAAGUCGAACGUGAAAUCCCCGGGCUCAACCCGGGAACUGCGUCCGAUACUGGAAGGCUUGAAUCCGGGAGAGGGAUGCGGAAUUCCAGGUGUAGCGGUGAAAUGCGUAGAUAUCUGGAGGAACACCGGUGGCGAAGGCGGCAUCCUGGACCGGUGUUGACGCUGAGGCGCGAAAGCCAGGGGAGCAAACGGG
rnacentral:rRNA from 1 species